AGUGAAUUCUACAAAGAGGCUAUGGGAAAGAAACCUGGAAAGGUAGGGAGUACCCUUGGCUGUGUACAUUUGAGUAAAGAGAGCACUAUAAAAUCAAAAACCAAUGAAAUGGUUUCCAGAACACAGAACUAUUAAGCUUAAGAAAAGGACAGAAGGAACUGAAGAGAGAGGAACUGUUUUGGAGCAUCACACUUCCACCUCAGAAGAAAUAAGGAAGGAAGGAGGAGGGUGUUCCCACGGCUCUUCAACCAGGCCGGCUCUUCAGCCUACAUCCCCAUCUCAUCAAGUAAAAGGGAUUUUUCAACUGGACCAACCAGAUGGUUUAACAGUGCACUCCCACACCAUUCAACUACGCAAGGGAGAUACACUUAACAUAUGCAGUCGUAUAACACCUACUAACAUUUUCAAACAUUAAACCUUUAAAAAAGAGUUCUAAAGAAAUAGAAGCUUGAAGUAUCAUCUCUCAAGUAUAUAGACACUACUUCAUGGUGUGGUAAUAUAUGCAUAUAGAAGCUAGUAAACACCUCCAGGAGAUGCAAAAGGAAUUAGAACUGCCACAAGGUGCAAGCAAAACCUUGAGGUAAUCAAUCUGCAUCCCAUUUUGGAUGAGAAUAUUUGCAACUUUGAAGGUUAUUUUAAGGACAGCAGCAGAAGAAUUAUGGCAGCUCUUCACGGAAAAAAAAAUGGCAACAAUAAAAUCAGCAACUCCUGCCAAAUAAAUGGGCAUAAAAAAGAAAUCAUAGACUGCUGGCAAUGGUGGGGAAAAAGUUAUAAAAAUUGUCUCUGCACCAUCUUCCUUUUGUCCUCUAAAAUAUUCACAUUAGCAAAAGUAUAUAACAGCUGAUGAAGAAAUACUGAUAAUUUGUCUUUGUGAGAAAAUCGAAUUUGGACACCGUUGAGGAGACUAUUGCAGUCAUCCAAGCUCAAGAUGGUGGAGCUUCAUCCUUGAGAAUAACCAAUGGGGAUAGAUUUAAGAGACACUUAGAGUCUGCAGCCAACAGGGCUGAAUGAGCAGAGAGUUAUGAUUCAGAAGAUCAUCUAAAAUUGAACAGCUGCCACUACUGGCAAUAAGUCUACUGCCAUUUGGUAGAUAACCUUCUUAUCACACAGAAAAAUAUCAGUACAGACAAAUAGACCGCAAAGAAAAUGAGACCAUCAGCAAAGAAGAUAAAGAAGUUUGUACAAAGCAACUUUUUAUAAAUGGAUGGCUGUCAGGCAAAAAUAAAUUUCCUGUGGACAAGACCAAGAGCAAGGCAAGAGGAAAAUAAACAUGUUUAAACUA
rnacentral:lncRNA from 1 species